UUAGUAGUUCAUAGUUUUUGUUCACAAAUGUUUAAAAAUGUCAAGGCAAAAAAAAAAGAGAAAUGUUAAAAACAUUUAAAAACGGUGCUGCCCCUUUAAGAGAAGUGCGGGUAAAAAGAGCAGGGUCUCCGUUCCCUCCUUUAGUCUGCGCUGAUGGCUGAAGUGAGAGGAGUUUUGAUGCUGUGUCCUCUCACUAACAACAAUACUGAUCUCUUUUGCAACUCAGGAUAACAUCAAGGACCGGCCACAGAUGAACUGCAUUCACAUUUCUUCUACACAGCAGAAAGAAAGUAGUUUGUAAGAUGGGAUUGGCUUCCAAUGUCUUUUUUCAUGGAGGAUCAAUUUGCUCAGUUCGAAUGAGUGUUCUGUUAAGUCUUAUGCCUAUUGUCAUUAUUGUUUUAGGGGCAAAACACCUUUUCGACUGUCCAAAACAACUAAUGGUUCCAAUGUACCUGCUGGUGGGAGGAGUGGCCUGUCUGUGUCUACAGAUAUUCCCCUUCUUUUACUGCAGCCAGUCAGAUGGCAUAGCUGUUCUUCCAUGCAGAAUUCUGAAUUUUCUCCUCCUCCUAUUCUGUCCCAUUUGGUUCAUCAUAGGAAGUGUUUUUGUGUACACGGCAUAUCAACCAGACUACGAGUCCCGUCACUCUGCAGAAUACUGUGAGAGGAUCAUCUACCAGGUUGCCUUCUGGAUAACGAAUGCCAUAUAUGUUAGCACGGCAUUUGCGUUGUUGUGUUACUGCUGCAAAACAUGCUGUGAAAGCAGAGCUCAAAAUCCGAACUCAGUGACAGUGUGUUAAGAAUAUUAGUAAUGAAUAUGAGUCUAAUGUUAUAUUCUCGACUGAAAGAAAUUCAAUUCAGUGUGUUCCUCUGAUCUUUCAAUGCCAUGGAUUAUUAAAAAUAUAAUCAUGAAAGAAUAAUCAUAUUUUUGUAAUUAUUUUAAUUAUGAACUAUGAAAAUACAAAUGUAUAAUUAAACUUUAUAUCAUAAUUCCUUUCGAAUCUCUUUCAUAAUGCUUUAUAAUGUUAAAGUUAUGCUUAUGUGGCUGUAUAUAUGAAAUAAAAACUGAGAAACAAUUGUAAGAAUCUGAAUUUACGUGUGUAUAGUCUGUUUAUCAGUGUUUAUGAUUCAUCAUUGUGUAGUACAGUCCUUUGACUAUAUUUCGCUAUGGAUUUACUUGCUUUUGUUUAUGUAUUUGGACAAUUUGAAUUGACAAUUAGUUAUUGCCAACAUUUGCUGCCUGUUAAAUCAUUAUUUAUUGUCAUCCAAAAGUCUAAAUAUUGGUUAACCACGAAAGACUAGCCUCACACCUUUACAGCUUCAGGAAAUAGAUCUACUUGUUUCCUUCUAGCUGCCUCUUUCACCUCUUUUAUCUUGUUCAUCCACAUCUUGCCUUAGGACCCAGUUUGCUUCUAUUCUUGGAUGUUUUACAACCAAUCCAAUCUGUAGUUUUUUUAUAAGUGUAUUACUGAAAUAAUGUAACAAAAAAAAACAUAAAAAUUCAACAUGUCUCAUAAACAUUUAAGAUUUUUCUGUGAGCAACUAAUAGCUACAAAAAGUACUAUGAUUACUAUUCUAGAUGUCAGUUACAAGUACUGGUAGGCCUUGGCAAAAGUUUCUCAAUGCUAAACCUCAGAGAGGAAGAUGUCUUAAAGCUCUUAGGCAAGUCUAUUCACCGCUGUGCUGUAAACCGAAAUCACACUGGGACAGCACUGGCAGGAGCGACACAACACAGAAAAACAUGCUCUUUAUCAAGUGAUUUCAUUCCAGAAAUUACUUCACUAAGAAGAAUUUAAAUUCCAGAAAAUACGCUAAGAAUUGAAGAGAAUAUUUGUUUUUGGUGAGAACUUUUUGAACAUGCAGAAAGAGACUGCAGAAAGAGAUGGAGUCCGUAAGUCAUUUAUUGGUAAGACUUACAUUUAGAAUCUCUUGGAAUAUAUAUGUUACGAAGCAUUAUGGAUUUCAUUACCAUGCAUUUUUGCCUUUUAGUAAUGCUGAAUCUAAUUGCAUGGAUGGUUCUGACAGCAACAGCUGGAUUAGGAGCCAUUAAUUUCCACGAGUGUCCAAUCCAGCCUCACAUCCCUACCUAUCUGAUUAUGAUUGGAGCAUGUGGAGCGGUAUCACUAAUGUUGGCCUACCUGAAGAACACUCUGCAUGAAGGAGCUCUGAAUCAAUUAUGUUCAAUCUGUAUCUUCUGCAUCCUCCUUCUCAGCACUUGCUGGAUUCUUAUGGGGACCUUCUGGGUUUACUCCAUAUAUCCUCCAAACUAUGAUUCUUCAAAUGGGAGGCACUACUGUCAGAGGACCCUUUACCUGUUUGCAUUUUGGUUCAACAACUUGUGUUUUUUGUGUGCGUUCAUAAUGUUUAUGUACUGCAUUUCCUAUCUUCUGUACAAAUGUUUCAUAGAGGCAUUUCAUCUGUAACAGUGGUUGUCAAACUAUGCAAUGCAUCCAAGGUGGUACUACAGGUGACCUCAGAAAAUGUGCUGCAGGCACUAAAAUAUUAAGGACUGAAAUCUAUAGGUAUCUAUAAAGGACCAAUCCAGGUCCUGGAGAUCUACCACCCUAAAAUGUUCAAAUACAACAUUUUAAUACUAAGAUGAUUCUAAAUGCUAUUAUUGCCUACGUAUAUGAGAUGUAUUAGAUUGAGAUUCCUGUGAAUUGACUUGUAGGAAGUACUUGGACAUUUUAGUUUGGUCAUGGAUGAAACAUGGUCUAAAAGUUUGAGAGUUAUUGAUAUAUCUCAAAAAUAUAUAUCUAAAAUAAGCAUGUAGAGAAAAAAAAGUUAUUUGUAAGCCUGUCACAAUAACCUUUUUUUGCUGAUCUUAAAAGUACCCAUUGUGUUAACUUAGCA